rnacentral:rRNA from 1 species
GUCCACGCAGUAAACGAUGAAUACUAGCCGUUCGCGAUAUACAGUGAGUGGCACAGCGAAAGCGUUAAGUAUUCCACCUGGGGAGUACGUUCGCAAGAAUGAAACUCAAAGGAAUUGACGGGGGCCCGCACAAGCGGAGGAACAUGUGGUUUAAUUCGAUGAUACGCGAGGAACCUUACCCGGGCUUGAAAUGCAUCUGACCGGCUUGGAAACAGGCCUUCUAGCAAUAGCAGAUGUGUAGGUGCUGCAUGGUUGUCGU